rnacentral:pre_miRNA from 1 species
AUAUGAAUCACCCAGGGAUCUUGUUAGAAUGCAAAUUCUGAUUCAGUGGGUCUAGGGUGGGGCCUGAGAGUCUGCAUUUAUGCCAAGCUCCCAGCUGAUUCUGAC